ACUUGAAGGGUUUGAUCCUGGCUCAGAAUGAACGUUGGCGGCGUGGAUUAGGCAUGCAAGUCGAGCGAGAAUCUGUGAGUGGCGACUUCGGUCAAAGCGAUCAGAGGACAGCGGCAAACGGGGUAGUAAGGCAUAGGUUACGUACCUCCAAGACCGGGAUAGCCACGGGAAACUGUGAGUAAUACCGGAUAAUCUCUUCGGAGCAAAUGGUGUGAUUCCGCUUGGAGAGCGGCUUAUGUGAUACUAGGUUGUUGGUGGGGUAAUGGCCUACCAAGCCUAAGAUGUCUAGGGGGUGUGAGAGCAUGGCCCCCACCACUGGGACUGAGACACAGCCCAGACACCUACGGGUGGCUGCAGUCGAGAAUCUUCCACAAUGGGCGAAAGCCUGAUGGAGCGACGCCGCGUGCGG
rnacentral:rRNA from 1 species